AGUGAACGCUGGCGGUAGGCCUAACACAUGCAAGUCGAACGGCAGCACAGUAAGAGCUUGCUCUUACGGGUGGCGAGUGGCGGACGGGUGAGGAAUACAUCGGAAUCUACUUUUUCGUGGGGGAUAACGUAGGGAAACUUACGCUAAUACCGCAUACGACCUACGGGUGAAAGCAGGGGAUCUUCGGACCUUGCGCGAUUGAAUGAGCCGAUGUCGGAUUAGCUAGUUGGCGGGGUAAAGGCCCACCAAGGCGACGAUCCGUAGUUGGUCUGAGAGGAUGAUCAGCCACACUGGAACUGAGACACGGUCCAGACUCCUACGGGAGGCAGCAGUGGGGAAUAUUGGACAAUGGGCGCAAGCCUGAUCCAGCCAUACCGCGUGGGUGAAGAAGGCCUUCGGGUUGUAAAGCCCUUUUGUUGGGAAAGAGAAGCAGCAGGUUAAUACCCCGCUGUUCUGACGGUACCCAAAGAAUAAGCACCGGCUAACUUCGUG
rnacentral:rRNA from 1 species